GUUUUUUUUACAGCAGUAUGCUGUGUCUAGGACAUUGUUGAAUGUCAUUGUUGGAAAGUUAACGUAUAUCAUUCUUAAAUGUCAUGCACAUACUUGAGGCAUGAUUAGCCUCUCAUUUACACCACUGUAAUGCCACUGACUUCAGAGGAAUUGCUCCUGAUGUACACUUGAGUAAGUGAAAGGUGAAUAAAGUCCUUUGCAGUGGUGGUGUAGCUGCGUUGAUCCCAGAAUAUGAGAAAUGCAAGGUAGGUGAGGUAAUAUCUUUUAUUGGUCGACAGUUUAAGAUUUCUAGUGACAGCUCUUUUUCAGGUCCUUGGUAUUUAAUUUGCAUAAAUUCAUUGAAACCUUCAUUUCACAUUGUUUUCUGUAGUCCAAUUCUGAACCAGCUAGGGGACUAUAUGCUAAUGACGUGCCUGAUUCACCACUUACUUCAUUUUUACAUGGGUGUAACUCACUUGAUUUCAGUGGAGUUAUGCUGGUGUAAAAUGAAGUAAAACAGUGGUGAAUUAAGCCUAUUUAUUAAAACAUCUGUACCAUGUGGGAGAGUAGCUGGGUGAAUAAGUGAGUAAGUCUGCAAUGAAUAGAGAACUUGAAGCAGAUGAAAGGGCUAGAAAGAGCAGAGCUAGCAGGCCUGAGGAAGGGAUGAUUCUUUCUUUCAAAGAUUUAACUGGGUUGGUUUGGUUCUAAUUUAAAAAAAAAAUAAAAUUGUGAGUAAACUAUUAGAAAUUGGUUAUUAAACUUUCCAUGCCUGUGAUUUAUUUUGACUAAUGCCCCAUGCUUUGUAGAAGGUUUUCUUAUUACUCUGUCACAGUAUUACCCAGAUUUAGCAUAUAGCACAGAAAUACAGCUGGACAAAACUGCAGGCAUAGUUCUGCCCUUAGCUUGAACAACCUAGCUAGUCAAUGUUUCACAAUACUCGCAGGACACCCAAGUAGUGGCAGUUGUUUUGACCCCUCAUUUUGUUUGCAAACUACAAGCCAAUGCUUUCCAGCAAGUGUUCUUGAUCCUUUGUCAAUGCUCAUAAUACCUAUUAUCUGACAAACACAGUGUUUUCCCACCAUUAAGAAAAUAAGGUUGGAAAUUCUUGUUGAAAGUUGUUGUGUUUGUUUUUUUUUAAAAAAAGCUGCUUCUCUGUCCCUUUACUACCUGUUUCCCACCAUUACCUGUGUGUGAACUUUUUUCCAAAUUAUAACUAAGUUAAGCAUAUCAUGUGCCAGGGAUAUCAUAGUUUGUCUGCUGAACCCAUGGGUAUAGUUUCACAUCACUGAGUAGGUGAGCCUAUCACACAUGACUGUCUGACACAUCAGAAUGAAGUUUUGCAACUAAUGUGUGAAACUCAGGUUCCAAUCGUGACUACCCAUAACAAAUUUCACCUCUAAUUCCAAUAAAAGGUUUUUAGGCUGACCAAGUAGGUUGUGCUAACGUAAAUAACUCUUCUGAAACCAGAUGGAGUUUUGUAUGGUUUAGCUUUUCAUAAUAAAAAAUUCUUAUGGCUGUAUACAGAGGAGAGAACUGGUUGAGGAACAUCAGAUUACCUUUCUUUCAGUCCUCUUUAGAUAAACAUAAACUAAAGCUACAUGACCAAUUUGGAGAAGUCUCUAACAUACAGUUGGGAAAUGAGCAGUGUCAGAUUUUUUUUUAAACGAAAUAAUAGGUGUUGUAUAAACACCUGUCAUUUUCCUAUUCUCUAACCAGAUUUCUUCUACUUGUAUUCCACUUUGUACUUUCAGCUGUAUAUGUAUCAUCAUCUCAUUAGAAAUGAAAAAAUACUCUGCAGUGUAUAAAGGGGAGCACUAUAAAUUAAGAUAUUUUAAAUUCUGUUCUUUAAGAAUAUUCUAUUUUCAGUCACCAUGUAUUUUCAAUUUCUGUCCUAAACAGUACUUCAUAUUGUUUUUGAGAUGCUAAAGGUAUUUUGUGAUGAUGUGCAUAUAUAAUUGCUGCUUAGGUACUUAUAUGGUCCUCAUUACUGUAGUGUCUGAGUGUCUCACAAUCUUUAAUGCACAACACCCUCUGAGGUAGGGAAAUAUUAUUCCCCUCUUACAGAUGGGCACUGAGGAAGUGAGAGAGUAAAUGACAUUCUCAAAGUCCUACAGGAAGUUUGUAAUAGAACAGGAAACUGAAGCCAGGUUUCCCAAGUCCCAGGCUUGUGGCCCAAUAACUGGAUCAUCCUUCCGUUCAGUAACAGAAAUGAUUGUUCUGUUCCUGUUCUAAAAAAGACAUUAAGGCCUAGAUCCACAAAGUGACUUAGUCAUUGCAUCACAAUGCCUAACUUUUAGAUGUGUAGAAAAUUACAGGAACAAUACUCCGAUCCGCAAAGCCUGAGUUUAGGUACCUAGGUUCUCUAUUUCAAAGAAUGAGGAGAGCUAGUCAACUUAGAAUGCAAUCCACAAAAGCCAGUAGGCUAGGUGAAGAACCACCUAAGCUAGCCAAUGGGGUAUGAUGACAAUUGGGGAAUGCUGAGCCUUGUCCGCUCAUGCAAAUAGGUGCCUAAGUACUGGCUGCUGAGGAGCCUGUCUCUGUUUAGUGAUCCGUGAAUGGGAACCCAUCUCAUGUGGUCAGGUGGCUUAGGCACCUAAAUAGGUUAUUGUGGGAAUGAAUUAGAUGCCUGCCUUGCUCCACACAAUGGCUGGAGGAGGUGGUGCUGGUCACCUUAUAACUCUUUAACGCAGGGGGCAGAGCACUCAUAUGAGAGGUCAUGGGUGGCAGGUGAACCCACCCUUGUGGGAGGCUAGCCCCAGGGCUCUUCCCCCCGAUCCUCCCCUCUUACCCUUCCUCCCUCACGAGAGACUGGAGCGCGCACAUCCCAUGGCCACCGUCCCGCUCCCCCAGCCUGAGUGGGCUGGGCGGGUAGCAUGGUCCCAGCGCCUCCAGUGCCAGGCAGACAGAUGGGCAGCAUGGUGUGGCCCCAGCCCCAACCGGCCUGCUCCCUCAGCUUAUUGGCCAUACCUGGAAGGGAGGGAACUGGAAGCAGGUGACCUGGGGGUGGAGUGUGAGCUGUUUGGGGAGGCACAGCCUUCCCCUGCCUGUGGUACCUGCCGUCCACGUUAGAGGUGCUGGGCUUCUGUUAAAAUCCUGCUCCCUCUCAGGCAGAGAGGGGAAUUGAACCUGGGUGUCCCACAUCCCAAGUGAGUGUGCUAAGCACUAAACUAAAUGAUAGGCACCCCCACAUCAUCCAUAUUUUGAAUGGGACUCAAUCUGGUAGGCAGCCUUUGAGCAUGCCUACUGCCUGGAUUGUGCUCUGCGUGUGAAUUAGACAUUCAUUUGCUGCCUAUUUUCUCUUGGUUUGUGGAUUGCUCUGGGGCACAGGCAGGAGAUAGGCAUCUAAAUUGCCCAGAGUGAGGGAACAGUGUGUGUUCUCAGAAGCAGAAACAUAGGUGCCUGGGAAUUUUUACCCUAAAAAUGUACGUGUCGAGUGAAUAGUGCACCUAGUGUUUGGCAGGAGUUUUGUGGUUCACAGUGAAGCCUAAAACUGGGAUUCAGGUGCCUAAACCUGAGAUUUAGGGCUUGUCUGUGCAGUCCUCCAGUUUGGAUUACAGGUGUGUUUGGCAGCCCUCACUGGCAUGCUAUGCUGAAACCACCCUUCCCCCCCAUGUGCACGCAGCUGGUGUGAACUAAAAGGCACCUAGUUCACGUUAUCUUAGUCCUGUUGGAAAGCAGCACAAAGGAAGCAGAAACUGCAAUUCCUCAGCAGUCAGUGAGCAAGUGUAGCCAGCUCUUAAUACUGCUACGCCCGCAGAGCUGAUGUAGAAAGUAAGAGAGAAGUGACCAUAUCAUAGAGUGACUUUGCGACCAUCUGCAAGCUGGUGGAAUUUAGAGCAGCUUGUUCUAAAUUCCCCAGGGGUUAUGGCUGGCACAGAGCUGGCUAGAAAAAUAAGGGAAUCGUAACUGCCUCCCUGACUUCUCUCCCUCUUUGUUAUUUCCAAUAGAAUCAAAAUGCAUCAGAGAAUCUGACUCCAUGAAUAUUGGUAUGUAAGAAUAUGAGACAUCAGACCCAUGAUGUUUUACUGUAAUCACUUAUACUGGCUCAUUUUGAACAAAGGGGUGUACAAUAUUUGUGGAGAGAGUACAAUCGUUGUGGAAAUAUUAUAUUGCAACAGUAUCCUAACUGCUAGACACUUCCCAAAAACAAGGAAGAGACAGUCCCUGCCCCGAAAAGCAUACAAUUUAAAGUUUUUUCUUUUUAAGAACGGGACCUUAAACAAUCAUUUAUUUCAUAAGAACAUUAUCAAUGUAAUGAAAUAAAGCUUCAAAAGCUUCUUUUCUAGAGCAUGCCAGCAUUCCUUAGUAACUUUUCUGCAAAAGCCAGAUCCAAUUGCUAAUAUUGUACAGGUAAGAGAAUUUCAUUGCUCCCAUCUAUGCUAUCCACUCUAUGUAAAUUUCUAAAAUAAAUUGAAAAAUUGUUUUCCUCUAUUCAAGGACUGAGGCAUACAAAUGCUAAUGUAGGGCUCAGAAGGGAAAUAAAGUUCUCCUGCAUAUUUGAGAAAAUCUGAAGCCCUUUCAAGAAAAUCUAAUAAACAUAAUAAUCACAACCUGCUGACACUAAGGAAAAAGGACCUCAUUCGCUCUUUCUUUUAUGCAGUGAUUUACUGGUCCCUAUUGAUUUCCAAAUUGGAUCACUGUAGUAAAUUAUCCAUGCCAGUACCUGUGAAAGUAAGCACUGGGAUCCAUAUUUGUUUUGUGUUCUGCUUAAAUCAGCAAGAAUGAUAAAUUUGAUGCUAUGAAAUUGGAAAUAUCAAGGGCUUUCUUCAAUGAAUGAGCAAAAUGUCUCCACUUGUAAUUUAUUGCAACUUUUUCACUGUAUGAGCUUUGUAUGUCUAGUAUUUAUUUCAACACAAAUUAAAUUGCUCUCUCCUUCUU